rnacentral:rRNA from 1 species
AACCCGACUACAUGAAGCUGGAAUCGCUAGUAAUCGCGAAUCAGAAUGUCGCGGUGAAUACGUUCCCGGGUCUUGUACACACCGCCCGUCACACCAUGGGAGUCGGAUAUGCCCGAAGCCGGUGACCUAACCGCAAGGAAGGAGCCGUCGAAGGUGGAGCCGAUGACUGGGGUGAAGUCGUAACAAGGUAAC